rnacentral:rRNA from 1 species
AGGGUUUGAUCCUGGCUCAGGACGAACGCUGGCGGCGUGCCUAAUACAUGCAAGUAGAACGCACAGGAUGCACCGUAGUUUACUACACCGUAUUCUGUGAGUUGCGAACGGGUGAGUAACGCGUAGGUAACCUGCCUGGUAGCGGGGGAUAACUAUUGGAAACGAUAGCUAAUACCGCAUAAGAACAUUUACUGCAUGGUAGAUGUUUAAAAGGUGCAAAAGCAUCACUACCAGAUGGACCUGCGUUGUAUUAGCUAGUUGGUGAGGUAACGGCUCACCAAGGCAACGAUACAUAGCCGACCUGAGAGGGUGAUCGGCCACACUGGGACUGAGACACGGCCCAG